rnacentral:rRNA from 1 species
AUUCCGCGAAUCAUCGAGUCUUUGAACGCAAGUUGCGCCCGAGGCUUGUCCGAGGGCAUUUCCGCUAGACGUCACC